rnacentral:lncRNA from 1 species
UGACAGUUUUGAAGAGUACCGGGCAGAUAUUGUGGAGGACAUCCCUUAGUAUGGUUAUAGAUGAUGUUUUCCUCAGAUUAGACUGGAGCGAUCUGUUCUUGGGAUGAAGACCACAGAGGCAACAGAAACAAUCUUUGUCCAACCAGCAAAAGAGGGAUUUGGAGAAAGAAAAUGAAGCAGCUUAUGGAACAGAAGGUAAAGCUGGAGAAGUAGGAUUGGAGCAUCUGGGGAGCAGACACUCAUGGGUGUGGGCG